GGAAUUUUGGACAAUGGGCGAAAGCCUGAUCCAGCAAUGCCGCGUGAGUGAAGAAGGCCUUCGGGUUGUAAAGCUCUUUUGUCAGGGAAGAAACGGUGAGGGCUAAUAUCCUUCGCUAAUGACGGUACCUGAAGAAUAAGCACCGGCUAACUACGUGCCAGCAGCCGCGGUAAUACGUAGGGUGCAAGCGUUAAUCGGAAUUACUGGGCGUAAAGCGUGCGCAGGCGGUUUUGUAAGUCUGACGUGAAAUCCCCGGGCUCAACCUGGGAAUUGCGUUGGAGACUGCAAGGCUAGAAUCUGGCAGAGGGGGGUAGAAUUCCACGUGUAGCAGUGAAAUGCGUAGAGAUGUGGAGGAACACCGAUGGCGAAGGCAGCCCCCUGGGUCAAGAUUGACGCUCAUGCACGAAAGCGUGGGGAGCAAACAGGAUUAGAUACCCUGG
rnacentral:rRNA from 1 species